rnacentral:lncRNA from 1 species
UGAAAUAGGCUUUCAAGUAAAGUGAUGGAACACAAUCCCUGGAGACAUUCUAAAUAAAGGAACAAUGGACUAGAAAGUGUUUUGCAGCGAGGAAUUCUGCAUUGAUGACUGGAGCUAGAAGGGGGCAGGGAAAUGGGACGAUGACCAGAUGUGGCCCAUGGCAAGGCCGUGCAUUGUGAAGGGAGGAGGAGGGUCUGAGAUCCGGGAGCCCUGCAGAGAGUUUGCUGAAGAGUGAAGAAAGGACGGCGUUAGUAAUGGGAUGAGGGAUACUGGAGUCCGAAUUAACAUAGCACACAGAGAGAUAUUCAGGAAAAUACAUCAUAUCUUGCACUUGGGUGGAAAAGAGCAGAAAUCCUUGGUUAACAGGAUUAUACGCAAUGGUGCAGAAAGCAUUCUCUAAAGAAAAAUCAGAGAGGAAGAAACACUGCAUGGAGAAUCCAAGAAACACUCUAAGAAUUGAAGUUAAAAUGUCGGAGGAGGCCUCGUAUGUCUUCUUCUAGGAGGACUCUCAGCUGAUGUUGGUUUUUUUAGUCUGUAUGAGCGAUGGACAAGCUGUCACUACCCAUUAGAUUUUGGGUGGUCCCAGGGGACCAUCCCAAGUUUGAGGAAAGUUGGCAAUGGAAAAAGGAGCAUCUGAUAGGAGCAGUCAGUGAAGUCCUUGGGUGGCCUCCCUCACCUUGACAGUGUGAAUUAACAGCUUAUCUUCAUGGACAUGGGACAAGAGGAGACUGGAAAUCAUCUCCCACACCACCCUCUCCAAGACAAAUUCAUAUUUAACUUCUACUUCUGCUCUGUUGACUUUAUCCUAUGUAAAGUACAGAUUUACUGAGCACGAGACAAAUGCAUAACUGACUAUUUCUUUACCCUCUCCUUUUCACAUGCAAUAUGCAGAUUCAG